AACGAACGCUGGCGGCAGGCUUAACACAUGCAAGUCGAACGAGUGUAGCAAUACACUAGUGGCGCACGGGUGCGUAACGCGUGGGAACCUUCCUCGUAGUUCGGAAUAACUCAGGGAAACUUGGGCUAAUACCGAAUGCCUCCUUCGGGAGAAAGAUUUAUCGCUACGAGAUGGGCCCGCGUCAGAUUAGGUAGUUGGUAGGGUAAUGGCCUACCAAGCCGACGAUCUGUAGCUGGUCNGAGAGGAUGAUCAGCCACACUGGGACUGAGACACGGCCCAGACUCCUACGGGAGGCAGCAGUGGGGAAUAUUGGACAAUGGGGGCAACCCUGAUCCAGCCAUGCCGCGUGAGUGAAGAAGGCCUU
rnacentral:rRNA from 1 species